rnacentral:rRNA from 1 species
UACGUAGGGUGCAAGCGUUAAUCGGAAUUACUGGGCGUAAAGGGUGCGCAGGCGGUCGUGCAAGUCAGAUGUGAAAUCCCCGGGCUCAACCUGGGAAUGGCAUUUGAGACUGCCCGACUGGAGUGAAUCAGAGGGGGGCAGAAUUCCACGUGUAGCAGUGAAAUGCGUAGAGAUGUGGAGGAACACCGAUGGCGAAGGCAACCCCCUGGGAUAGCACUGACGCUCAUGCACGAAAGCGUGGGGAGCAAACAGG